UGUUUAGUUUUGUUGGGCAUUCGGUGGAUGCCUUGGCAUCAAGAGCUGAUGAAGGACGUUGCGGCCUGCGAUAUGCCUCGGGGAGUUGGCGAGCGAGCUUUGAUCCGAGGGUGUCCGAAUGGGGGAACCUAACCAGGGUUGUGCUUGGUUACCAUCAUCUGAACGUGUAUAGGGUGGUGGGGGGAACGCGGGGAAGUGAAACAUCUUAGUACCCGUAGGAAAAGAUAUUCCGUGAGUAGUGGCGAGCGAAAGCGGAGGAGGCUAAACCGUGUGCGUGUGAUACUCGGCGGGGGUUGCGUGUGCGGUGUUGUGGGGCUUGUUCGUCUCUUCUCUGCCGGGGAGGGGCUUGCGUGUGUGAUGGUAGUUGAACCGUGUGGGAUAGCGGACCGGAGUGCGUGAUAGUCGUGUAGAUGGACUGUUGCAUGCGUAGGUGGGAUAGGUGCCCGAGUAGUGCGGGACUCGUGAAAUCUCGUGUGAAUCUGCCAGGACCACCUGGUAAGCCUAAAUACUUCUUGAUGACCGAUAGUGCAUAGUACCGUGAGGGAAUGGUGAAAAGUACCCCGGGAGGGGAGUGAAAUAGUACCUGAAACCGUGUGCCUUUAAGCCGUCAGAGCCUUGUGGGGUGAUGGCGUGCCUUUUGAAGAAUGAGCCUGCGAGUCAGUGAUACGUGGCGUGCUUAACCCGUGUGGGGUAUGCGUAGCGAAAGCGAGUCUGAAAUAUGGCGUUUGUCGCGUGUUCUGGACCCGAAGCGGGGUGAUCUACCCAUGGCCAGGUUGAAGCAGAGGUAAGACUGUGUGGAGGACCGAACCCACCAGGGUUGAAAACCUGGGGGAUGAGCUGUGGGUAGGGGUGAAAGGCCAAUCAAACUCCGUGAUAGCUGGUUCUCCCCGAAAUGCAUUUAGGUGCAGCGUUGUGUGUUGCCUGGUGGAGGUAGAGCUACUGGAUGGCCGAUGGGCCCUAUGGGUUACUGACGUCAGCCAAACUCCGAAUGCCAUUAGGUUGAGCAUGGCAGUGAGACUGCGGGGGAUAAGCUUCGUAGUCGAGAGGGAAACAGCCCAGAUCAUCAGCUAAGGCCCCUAAGUGUGCGCUAAGUGGGAAAGGAUGUGAGAUCGCGGUGACAACCAGGAGGUUGGCUUAGAAGCAGCCAUCCUUGAAAGAGUGCGUAAUAGCUCACUGGUCAAGUGGUUUCGCGCCGACAAUGUAGCGGGGCUUAAGCGUACCGCCGAAGCUGUGGCACUCACACAUGAAAGAGCCUGGGCAGGGGACCUGCCU
rfam:Actinomyces turicensis ACS-279-V-Col4 genomic scaffold supercont1.1, whole genome shotgun sequence.